AGUGAUUUGUCUGGUUAGUUCCGUUAACGAACGAGACCACCGCCUACUAAAUAGUACAUAUCUUCGCGAGAAAGUAUGAGACUUCUUAGAGGGACAUUUCGGGUCUACCGGAAGGAAGUUUGUGGCAAUAACAGGGCUGUGAUGGCCUUAGAUGUUCUGGGCCGCACGCGCGCUACACUGAUCGGUUCAGCAAGUUUUCAUUCUUUGGAGUGGAGUCCUUGACCGGAAGGUCUGGGUAAUCUGAAAAGGCGAUCGUGAUGGGGCUAGAUUUUUGCAAUUAUUAAUCUCCAACGAGGAACC
rnacentral:rRNA from 1 species